rnacentral:rRNA from 1 species
UGGGGAAUAUUGCGCAAUGGGGGCAACCCUGACGCAGCAAUACCGCGUGAGUGAAGAAGGUUUUCGGAUCGUAAAGCUCUGUUAUUGGGGAAGAAAAAAGACGGUACCCAAGAAGAAAGUCCCGGCUAACUACGUGCCAGCAGCCGCGGUAAUACGUAGGGGACAAGCGUUGUCCGGAUUUACUGGGCGUAAAGGGCACGCAGGCGGUUUUUUAAGUCAGAUGUGAAAGGUACCGGCUCAACCGGUGACAUGCAUUUGAAACUGAAAGACUUGAGUAUUGGAGAGGCAAGUGGAAUUCCUAGUGUAGCGGUGAAAUGCGUAGAUAUUAGGAGGAACACCGGUGGCGAAGGCGGCUUGCUGGACAAAUACUGACGCUGAGGUGCGAAAGCGUGGGGAGCAAACAG